AUGACAACAUAUUCAGUAUUCACUGUGAGAUUAGCCCUCCGAAGUAGUGCCUUAUAUAAAGGAAUGGAACAUUUGAGAUUUUAUAAUUUGCAUGCGGAGCCAACCACUUAUGACCAUAUGUCUAGAAUUCACACUUCGGAAAUACAUUUUAAGAUGCUUUAUUACUUAAAGGGUUUAAGCAUUACACCCGACCUCUGCAUAACUGAGAUGCACACAGCCAUAACCAAGUCCAAGUUCCAAAGAAUCGAAAAAGGCGGAAUACAAGAGACAUGCAUAUUAAUAAAACUACUAACUAGUGGCCCGGAUCAUCUCCUAAUAAAUAAAUCUAGGAACAAAAUGGAAGAGAAUAUGCCAUAA
rnacentral:rRNA from 1 species